rnacentral:rRNA from 1 species
GAUGAACGCUGGCGGCGUGCCUAAUACAUGCAAGUCGAGCGAACAGACGAGGAGCUUGCUCCUCUGACGUUAGCGGCGGACGGGUGAGUAACACGUGGAUAACCUACCUAUAAGACUGGGAUAACUUCGGGAAACCGGAGCUAAUACCGGAUAAUAUAUUGAACCGCAUGGUUCAAUAGUGAAAGACGGUUUUGCUGUCACUUAUAGAUGGAUCCGCGCCGCAUUAGCUAGUUGGUAAGGUAACGGCUUACCAAGGCGACGAUGCGUAGCCGACCUGAGAGGAUGAUCGGCCACACUGGAACUGAGACACGGUCCAGACUCCUACGGGAGGCAGCAGUAGGGAAUCUUCCGCAAUGGGCGAAAGCCUGACGGAGCAACGCCGCGUGAGUGAUGAAGGUCUUCGGAUCGUAAAGCUCUGUUAUUAGGGAAGAACAAAUGUGGAAGUAUCUAUGCACGUCUUGACGGUACCUAAUCAGAAAGCAACGGCUAACUACGUG